rnacentral:rRNA from 1 species
GUGUCAGCCGCCGCGGUAAUACGUAGGGUGCGAGCGUUAAUCGGAAUUACUGGGCGUAAAGCGUGCGCAGGCGGCUUUGCAAGACAGAUGUGAAAUCCCCUGGCUCAACCUUGGUACUGCAUUUGUGACUGCAAGGCUAGAGUACGGCAGAGGGGGAUGGAAUUCCGCGUGUAGCAGUGAAAUGCGUAGAUAUGCGGAGGAACACCGAUGGCGAAGGCAAUCCCCUGGGCCUGUACUGACGCUCAUGCACGAAAGCGUGGGGAGCAAACAGGAUUAGAAACCCCGGUAGUCC